rnacentral:rRNA from 1 species
CUAGCUACAGGCUUAACACAUGCAAGUCGAGGGGCAUCAGGAAGAAAGCUUGCUUUCUUUGCUGGCGACCGGCGCACGGGUGAGUAACACGUAUCCAACCUGCCCUUUACUCGGGGAUAGCCUUUCGAAAGAAAGAUUAAUACCCGAUAGCAUAAUGAUUCCGCAUGGUUUCAUUAUUAAAGGAUUCCGGUAAAGGAUGGGGAUGCGUUCCAUUAGGUUGUUGGUGAGGUAACGGCCCACCAAGCCUUCGAUGGAUAGGGGUUCUGAGAGGAAGGUCCCCCACAUUGGAACUGAGACACGGUCCAAACUCCUACGGGAGGCAGCAGUGAGGAAUAUUGGUCAAUGGGCGCUAGCCUGAACCAGCCAAGUAGCGUGAAGGAUGAAGGCUCUAUGGGUCGUAAACUUCUUUUAUAUAAGAAUAAAGUGCAGUAUGUAUACUGUUUUGUAUGUAUUAUAUGAAUAAGGAUCGGCUAACUCCGUGCCAGCAGCCGCGGUAAUACGGAGGAUCCGAGCGUUAUCCGGAUUUAUUGGGUUUAAAGGGAGCGUAGGUGGACUGGUAAGUCAGUUGUGAAAGUUUGCGGCUCAACCGUAAAAUUGCAGUUGAUACUGUCAGUCUUGAGUACAGUAGAGGUGGGCGGAAUUCGUGGUGUAGCGGUGAAAUGCUUAGAUAUCACGAAGAACUCCGAUUGCGAAGGCAGCUCACUGGACUGCAACUGACACUGAUGCUCGAAAGUGUGGGUAUCAAACAGGAUUAGAUACCCUGGUAGUCCACACAGUAAACGAUGAAUACUCGCUGUUUGCGAUAUACAGUAAGCGGCCAAGCGAAAGCAUUAAGUAUUCCACCUGGGGAGUACGCCGGCAACGGUGAAACUCAAAGGAAUUGACGGGGGCCCGCACAAGCGGAGGAACAUGUGGUUUAAUUCGAUGAUACGCGAGGAACCUUACCCGGGCUUAAAUUGCAGUGGAAUGAUGUGGAAACAUGUCAGUGAGCAAUCACCGCUGUGAAGGUGCUGCAUGGUUGUCGUCAGCUCGUGCCGUGAGGUGUCGGCUUAAGUGCCAUAACGAGCGCAACCCUUAUCUUUAGUUACUAACAGGUUAUGCUGAGGACUCUAGAGAGACUGCCGUCGUAAGAUGUGAGGAAGGUGGGGAUGACGUCAAAUCAGCACGGCCCUUACGUCCGGGGCUACACACGUGUUACAAUGGGGGGUACAGAAGGCAGCUAGCGGGUGACCGUAUGCUAAUCCCAAAAUCCUCUCUCAGUUCGGAUCGAAGUCUGCAACCCGACUUCGUGAAGCUGGAUUCGCUAGUAAUCGCGCAUCAGCCACGGCGCGGUGAAUACGUUCCCGGGCCUUGUACACACCGCCCGUCAAGCCAUGGGAGCCGGGGGUACCUGAAGUACGUAACCGCAAGGAUCGUCCUAGGGUAAAACUGGUGACU